GUGCUCAUUUUGGCAGCACAUAUACUAAAAUGGAAUGAUAACAGAGAAGAUUAGCAUGGCCCCUGUGCAAGGAUGACAUGCAAAUCCAUGAAGUGUUCCAUAUUUUU